rnacentral:lncRNA from 1 species
UUUCAAUCUUUUUCUCUCGCUCCCUCUUUCUAUCAUUUUAAAUCCAGAAGCCCUAAACUCUGCUCUGUAAUCAGCGUGCUAACCCGGAUCACUGGUACGAUACCUUGUCCGAUUGAUCUGAAACCCAUCAACGGAUGUCAAAGUGCUGCCUGGAUAAGGCUAUACUUUGCUAACUACGUUGGGGUUUUGAUCUCGUGAUUAUCGUUAGAGUUUAAAUUGGGUUAAUACAGUAAUACGUGUUAUAGUGUUUGUUUAUUAGGAAUCCAAGCUUAAUACCAGGAGGCUAUAAAAAUCAAAACCCUAAAUCUACAAAGUGAGUUAUUCUCUUUUUAUUAAAUGCUUUUAAAACCCUAAAUAUUUUCUAAGUUGUAUUUACAGUGAUUAAGUUUUUGUAUUCUGGAAUUACUGUCAGUAUGUGGGGUUUUGUAUACACUACUAGUUCAGCGUUGUUAUUGGACAAAGAGUUAGCCGAUAGUGAUAGUAAUAUGACCACAGUCACAAGAACUGCCACCGUGACAAAUACUGAUUUGAGUAAUUGAAAGAUAAACAAAUGUAAAAACUCUUGAUGCUGUAAAUUUCAAUACGGUGUCUUUUUAUACAAAUGAUGAACUCGCCAGUAUUCUUCGCUGAUAAAAUGUUUUUAAACACGUUUCAGGUGACUUACUGUGAAAGUGAAGAAAUAUGUUACGAAGCACCGAAGGCUUAAAUAAAGUAGCUAUGUUACCAUAGUAAAAGAAAGAAAAUGUGUUUUGUAAAAAUAGGGUUUAUCUCUGUAAAAAAAAAAAUCUUUUGUUGUAAUUUGGCUUUUAUUCCAUCUAUUUAAUAUUAAAAACAUUGGUUUUUUACAACUUUGAAAUUUUUCUAACUACGGUCCUGAUAAAAGUUUCCGUUACGAAUUUACUAAACACCGAUACCACUGCUGCAUCUGUCCGCGGCUCCCGCUCAGGGUCGGAUCGAGGGUCCUGACAGGCGAUAUGUGGUGCAAGUUUUGAUCAGAGUGUUGAAGAUACGGAAGGAGAUUGUGUGGUGGAGGUGUGGUAAUGGAACCCACCAAUUCUUCAAAUCAAGGACAAGUUGAUACAUGUAUAUAUUGUAUUAAAAAGGUGUCAUUUUCACAAUAAAAGUGUUAAUAAUGGAUUGACAAAAAUACUUAAAUGCUUGGGGCACGUGAGGGAGUUUUAGCACCCCUACUGUUAAUCAAAUACCUUAGACCUAAAUAUAUAUUUUUUUAAACCACCAGGACUAUCUAUGUAGUUAACUCUUUAUAAUAUAUGUUUCAACAGGUUGCAAUUUUAUGAAAGAAAAUGAAGUUAAUCAAGUGGAAUUAGUUAUUUCGAUUGGGAAUCAGUAUUAGGAGGGAUUUAAAGGAAAACGCACGAUAAUUUCAAGGGAGUUACUAAGCACGGUUUUGAAGGCAGCACCCUCUUGGCUGCUUUCGUUAAUGCUUGGGAGAUACAAGAGUCGACAACCCUUUUGGCUUAUCCCAGAAACAAACAAGAAAAAGAAAAGGAAAGGAAAGUUUAGUGGUGUUGAUGCACCUUUGUGUUGAUGUAGCUCGGUUCGCUUCGUGACCGCAGUCGACGACAUUUCUCCGUCGUACGACCCGCCGGACGAGGUACAAAUGACGAAGAUACGAGAACAACACGGAUCCUUGGAUUAGAUAGUGAUGACAUCAUGACAUCAUCAUACAAAGUUUAAUCCAUGCCUUACUAUCGAUAUGUGAAACUAAUACAGGAAUCUAUAUAUAUCGAUCAGGAGGUUCUUAUAUGAACUAUUGAUAAAGAACAACAUGUUAUCGAUCAAAAGGGUAUAUCGAUUAACAUGGUUUA